GAGUUUGAUCUUGGCUCAGGACGAACGCUGGCGGCGUGCCUAACACAUGCAAGUCGAGCGAAGAAGCCCCUUCGGGGGUGGAUUAGCGGCGGACGGGUGAGUAACACGUGGGUAACCUACCUCAAAGAGGGGAUAGCCUCCCGAAAGGGAGAUUAAUACCGCAUAAAAGGUGAAUACCGCAUGGUAAAUACCUUAAAGGAGAAAUCCGCUUUGAGAUGGGCCCGCGGCGCAUUAGCUAGUUGGA
rnacentral:rRNA from 1 species